UACGAAGGGGGCUAGCGUUGCUCGGAAUUACUGGGCGUAAAGGGCGCGUAGGCGGCGAUCUCAGUCAGGCGUGAAAGCCCCGGGCUCAACCUGGGAACUGCGCUUGAGACGGGGUUGCUUGAGGACGGGAGAGGGUGGUGGAAUUCCCAGUGUAGAGGUGAAAUUCGUAGAUAUUGGGAAGAACACCGGUGGCGAAGGCGGCCACCUGGCCCGUUACUGACGCUGAGGCGCGAAAGCGUGGGGAGCAAACAGG
rnacentral:rRNA from 1 species